GCUUACGGCCACACCGCCUGGUUCACGCCCGAUCCGUUUGAUCUCGGGAAGCUAAGAUAGGUUGGGCCUGGUUAGUACUUGGAUGGGAGACCGCCUGGGAAUACCAGGUGCUGUGCUUU
ensembl:rRNA 5S_rRNA 5S ribosomal RNA